rnacentral:lncRNA from 1 species
AACAAAUAGUUCCACAUCCAGUAGAGGAAGAGACUCAGGGAGUGGCAGGAAGGCUGGCCUGUUUACUUUAGAGAAUAGGUAAUUUUAAGGGGAAGGCAGAGGGUCAUGAACUCAGCCCUAAGUGAUUACAGGAUCCUCAGGCUUCUUGGAUCAGCUGCUCACCUAAAAGGUGAAAGCCUUUCUCAGGGGCUUGUGGGCUCCCCCAACUUGGAGGUCUUCAAUCAGAGGGUAAAAGAGCCUUUGUCAGGCCUGAGCGAAGCCCUCCAAAGCUAUUGUUAUCAGCCCUUCCUGCCAGGAGCAUCUGAGUCAGAUCCCCGAGAGGAAAGACUUACCUAAACAAAUUUGGACUGAGGAUCAGAAGACCUGCGUUCAAAUUCUAGCAUUGCUUCUUGCUAUCUGUAUGAAUUCAGGCAACACAGCUGUUACUUAAUAAAUGUCUAUUGUUG